rnacentral:rRNA from 1 species
UGGGGAAUCUUGCGCAAUGGGCGAAAGCCUGACGCAGCGAUGCCGCGUGCGGGAUGAAGGCCUUCGGGUUGUAAACCGCUUUCAGCAGGGACGAAAUUGACGGUACCUGCAGAAGAAGCCCCGGCCAACUACGUGCCAGCAGCCGCGGUAAUACGUAGGGGGCGAGCGUUGUCCGGAUUUAUUGGGCGUAAAGAGCUCGUAGGCGGUUCGGUAAGUCGGAUGUGAAAUCUCCAUGCUCAACAUGGAGGGGCCAUUCGAUACUGCCGUGACUCGAGUCCGGUAGGGGAGUGUGGAAUUCCCGGUGUAGCGGUGAAAUGCGCAGAGAUCGGGAGGAACACCCGUAGCGAAGGCGGUACUCUGGGCCGGUACUGACGCUGAGGAGCGAAAGCGUGGGGAGCAAACAGGAUUAGAUACCCUGGUAGUCCACGCCGUAAAACGUGGGUACUAGGUGUGGGACUCUAUCGACGGGUUCCGUGCCGUAGCUAACGCAUUAAGUGCCCCGCCUGGGGAGUACGGCCG